GGGUAACGAGGUGUGGUGACGACGCUGUAGUGGUAUAAAUCGGUAGCUCGGCGGUGCUGCGGCCUUUUGUGUCGCAGUCUAAGGAAGGUCUGAAGUUUAAUGGAUUGAAGUGUGCCCAUUGUUUUCACAAGAGCAUGAUCACACUCAGUGGCCACUUUGUUAGGUACAGUGGCAUGCAAACAUUUGGGCACCCCAAGAGAUCUGAGCUCUCAGAUAACUUUUACCAAGGUUUCAGACCUUUUAGCUUGUUAGGGCUAUGGCUUCUUCACAGUCAGCGUUAGGAAAGGCCAGGUGAUGCAAAUUUCAAAGCUUUAUAAAUACCCUGACGCUUCAAGCCUUGUCCCAUCAAUCAGUGGCCAUGGGCUCCUCUGAGCAGCUGCCUUCCACUCUGAAAAUUAAAAUAAUUGAUGCCCACAAAGAAGGAGAAGGCUAUAAAAAGAUAGCAAAGCGUUUUCAUGUAGCAGUUUCCUCGGUUCGUAAUGUGAUUAAGAAAUGGCAGUUAACAGGAACGGUGGAGGUCAAGUUGAGGUCUGGGAGACCAAGAAAACUUUCCGAGAGAACUGUUCGUAUUAUUGCUAGAAAGGCAAAUGAAAACCCCCGUUUGACUGCAAAAGACCUUCAGGAAGAUUUAGCAGACUCUGGAGUGGUGGUGCACUGUUCUACUGUGCAGCGACACUUGCACAAAUAUGACUCGUGGAAGAGUCAUCAGAAGAAAACCUUUCCUGCAUCCUCGCCACAAAAUUCAGUGUCAGAAGUUUGCAAAGGAACUUCUAAACAAGCCUGAUGCAUUUUGGGGGGGAAAGUCCUGUUUUGACCAGGGGUGCCCAAACUUUUGCAUGUCGCUGUACAUCUUUUAAUGGUCAAGAGGUACAGUUCUCACCAAACAGCAGCACGGAGAAGAAAUGUGAUCUCAGUGACUUUGAAUGUGAAAUGCUUAUUGGUGCCAGGCUGAGUGGUCUGAGCAUCUCAAAAACUGCUGACUUGGGGUUUUCAUGCACAACAGUCUCUAGAGUUUAUAAAGAGUGGUGUGAAAAGCAGAAAACCUCCUUUGAGCGGCAGUUCUGUGGGUGAAAAUGCCUUGUUAAUGAGGUCUGGAGAUUGGCCAGACUAGUUCAAGCGGAUGUAAAGGCAACAGUAACUCAAAUAGCUGUUACAACAGUGAUGUGCAGAAGGGAUCUCUGAACAUGCAACACACUGAAUCUUGAAGUGGAUGGGUUACAGCAUCAGAAGACUACACUGGGUUCCACACCUGAGUGGAUAUUGAAACAGUAUAUUUACCAUUCCUGAAUUGUAUAAUGCUCUUAAAACUAAAUUAGAGACUUGUACUGAGAUUAGGUGAAAUUGUUAGCUGUUAGAAGUGAAAUAAAACAAUAGUGGACAUGUUGAA